rnacentral:rRNA from 1 species
CAAUAGCGUAUAUUAAAGUUGUUGCAGUUAAAAAGCUCGUAGUUGGAUUUGUGGCGUACGACGGGCUCCGGGCACUUGUUGUCUGAGUAGCUUGUCGUUGCCAUCCUUGGGUGGAACCUGUGUGGCAUUAGGUUGUCGUGCAGGGGAUGCCCAUCUUUUACUGUGAAAAAAUUAGAGUGUUCAAAGCAGGCUUAUGCCGUUGAAUAUAUUAGCAUGGAAUAAUAAGAUAGGACUUUGUCGCUAUUUUGUUGGUUUGCGCGAUAAGGUAAUGAUUAAUAGGGACAGUUGGGGGUAUUCGUAUUCCGUUGUCAGAGGUGAAAUUCUUGGAUUUUUGGAAGACGAACUACUGCGAAAGCAUUUACCAAGGAUGUUUUCAUUAA